GGCCCGAUGGCGCAGCGGAAAACGCGUCCACCCCAAAUAGUACUCCAUCUUUGCGGAAGGCACCUGUUCGAUUCAUGAUCGGGCCG